rnacentral:rRNA from 1 species
GAUGAACGCUGACAGAAUGCUUAACACAUGCAAGUCUACUUGAUUCUACUUCGGUAGUUGAUGGUGGCGGACGGGUGAGUAACGCGUAAAGAAUCUGCCCUUUAGUUUGGGAUAACCUUUGGAAACGAAGGCUAAUACCGGAUAUUAUGGAGACGUCGCAUGACGACUCCAUGAAAGCUAUAUGCGCUAGAGGAGGACUUUGCGUCCCAUUAGUUAGUUGGUGAGGUACUGGCUCACCAAGACCGCGAUGGGUAGCCGGCCUGAGAGGGUGAUCGGCCCAAAGGGAACUGUGACACGGUCCUUACUCCUACGGGAGGCAGCAGUGGGGAAUAUUGGACAAUGGGCCACAAGCCUGAUCCAGCAAUUCUGUGUGCACGAUGAAGGUCUUCGGAUUGUAAAGUGCUUUCAGUAGGGAAGAAAAAAAUGACGGUACCUACAGAAGAAGCGACGGCUAAAUAUGUGCCAGCCGCCGCGGUAA